rnacentral:rRNA from 1 species
UACGUAGGGUGCAAGCGUUAAUCGGAAUUACUGGGCGUAAAGCGUGCGCAGGCGGUUUUGCAAGACAGAUGUGAAAUCCCCGGGCUUAACCUGGGAACUGCAUUUGUGACUGUAGAGCUGGAGUGCGGCAGAGGGGGGAUGGAAUUCCGCGUGUAGCAGUGAAAUGCGUAGAUAUGCGGAGGAACACCGAUGGCGAAGGCAAUCCCCUGGGCCUGCACUGACGCUCAUGCACGAAAGCGUGGGGAGCAAACAGG